rnacentral:rRNA from 1 species
UACAUGGGGUGCAACCGUUGCUCGGAAUUAUUGGGCGUAAAGCGCACGUAGGCGGUUCGUUAAGUCGGAUGUGAAAGCCCUCGGCUCAACUGAGGAAGUGCACCCGAAACUGGCGAGCUUGAGUACGAAAGAGGAUCGCGGAAUUCCCGGUGUAGAGGUGAAAUUCGUAGAUAUCGGGAGGAACACCGGUGGCGAAGGCGGCGAUCUGGGUCGAUACUGACGCUGAGGAGCGAAAGCGUGGGGAGCAAACAGG